GGACGAUUUACCAGCCGCCCGGAGCGUGGACGCCCAUGACGAAACUCAGGGGAACCAGGAGGAGUGGCCGUCCAGCACCAUCUCCACCUCAAGAAGUUUCAGACGAGAGGCAAAUCUUCAGUAUUUGUGUGCUUGCAAUUAUGAGAUAUAUAAAGCCAUGAUUGCACAGAAGGUUCACAAACUAAUCAGAGUAUGCGACGUCUUUGGUCCUAAGGUUGUUUUGAUCUCAAAUAUUCCAGUGUAAUAAUCUCACAGGUAUAUCAUAAUUUCGUUUAUUGUGCCAUUUUUGGGUUUACCUUCAACUAAUGAAUUCUGAAAAAUUGUAUUUUCUGGAGAUUUACUGUCAAUUAUACUUAAGGAUGCAAAUUGAGUUCAGCAAAAAUGGUUAGUCAAUUACCACGCAACAUCUUUUGUCCUAUCUACUAUAUUCUACUUUGUGAACUAUAAUAGAUUUAGUCAAAAGAAAAUGCUUAUUGCUUAUUCCAUUACAACAUGCUUUUCAAACGUGAAGUUAAAACGAUCUUUCCAUUCUUAGCUUUCUAUAUGUACAUCUCUUAUUUACCGUACAGACAGAUUUCACCCAUUGUUGCUGUGAUUGAUUGCUUCCUUUGUUGAAUUGAUCGAGAUGUAUACACCAUGUGUUAUAAAUAGCAUUUGGGUUGCCCUCUCUGGCUUCCAACUCUGAGCUCCGAAUAUCCCUACUAUUAUUGCGACUUGGUUUAUUUUCAAGGUGCGCAACUAAGCACUAGCAUUCAAGAUUCGGGAUUAAUCAUGGUUGUUGGCAUGGGAAAAUUGUUGGUACAUUUUGAUAGGGAUUGAACAUGUAUGAGAUUUAUCAAUAACUUGGCAUGUUCGACAUGUUUUUGAGCUAUUUUGCCUCACAUUUCCAUAAGUAUGCUGCGGCCCGAGCUUUUGUUAAUGGUCCCUGCGUAUUCACUAUUGAGAGAUAACAGUUUGACUAGUUUUUUGUUUGUUUGGGAAUAAACAAGUUGACUGCUGAUACAUGUCCUAAUCUAUCUAGCUGAAGAAAAUGACACAAUUUGGUGUUUUGGUACUACUAUGGUGCCACCAUGUUACCACAUGGCUUGCGAAGUGAUUUCCUAGUCUUGUCUGGAUGGGCUUAACAGCCUUACAGUGUGAUGUUUGAGAUGAGAAAUGUUUGAAAUCCUAGAUUUAAAUCAUGUUUCACAUGAAUCUGUGUGAUUGACAUUUCACCGCUUAUGUAGAUAACUUCCUCUUGUAUACAUUUUUGCUGCAGGAUGGGCAAUUUUGGUGUGUCCUUGUUCUUGAAGGAGUAACUCUUCAUGUCUUUUGCAACCCUCCACUCUGCCACCGAGACACCAAUUCUAGCAACAUUCUUUUUGAUGAAAAUUUCGUUAGCAAGAAUGGGCAGUUGGUGUGUCCUUGUUCUUGAAGUAGUACCUGUUCAUGUCUUUUGCAACCCUCCACUCUGCCAUCAAGACACCAAUUCGAGCAACAUUCCUUUGGAUGAAAAUUUUGUUAGCAAAGUCGUUCUUGUGAUAUACUUAUAAACUCUAGCAACUGCCGACAUUCAGUUUGUGAAACAAAUGUCCUCGACUUUAUAUGCAGGUUGUUGAUUAGCCUUGCACAUGCAUCUACAACCUUUGUUACUCAAUGAAUAAUUCUUAGUUCUUAUGUCUUAGAUCCGUGAGCUAAUGGAUGCUUCUGACUUACCUAUAUAUGUUUUGUAUGUUAUGGAGAUUGCUGAGUUGAAUUAUAAAUUUGCUCC